CGUAGAUGAAGGAUUCGUUGAACACAGGGUUAAGUGUGCACUUUUUCACAUGCGUUUUUUUCUUGGCGAUGCGCUUGUGGCCAUAGAAGACGUUCAGCUUCACGUAGGGAUCUGGGACACGAGACAAGACAGGUGUGUAUGAGCAGAAUAUACUUACUGCCAGACAGACCAGUGAUGUCUACUUUUGGAAGAUGUUUUGCUUUUAACACCACCACACUGAGUCUGUGAGAGACAGGCUGAUAGGAAAGAGAGACCAGGAGCUCUCCGCGGCUUUCACACUGUGAAGAAACAAACACACAAACUCGUUUUAAUGAUCUUCGGCUAUGCGGAGGCACGCGCUCAUACGUGUGCUGUGCUUAUGGGACUGUUUAAUCCCACUCCACCAGCCGGAGGAUGAACACAUUUAUCAAUGACUAAGCCUCCCUGUAUAAACUGUGGUAGGAGGAUGAAUCAGACACUGUGCAGUGAGUCAGCGCUGACCUCACAAGUGCUAGACACAAACAAGUGCUAGUACUCAGACCAAAUAAAUAAAUAAGAUAUAAAAUUACAGUUAGAAAGGGGAAGCAGUUGAAUCUGAACAUGAAACUGACUUUCAAGGGAUUUCAGAUUUAAUGUAUAGUUACUUUACUUUUCAAUUUAAGGCAUGAGAAGCUGUGCUAUAUUGUGAAGGCAGUCACAGCUGUAAUGAAAUUAACCAAUCAGCAUCCAGGAGAAAUGAAAACUCAUAUUAUAUUGAAUGAUUACAUGUAUUAAUGUAUUUAGUGUAUUAUAAUCACACUUCUAUGGUUAAGUUUAAUAUUAA